UAUAUGUUUUAUGUGUGUUCAAAUAAAUAUAUUAAAGACACACGUGUAUACAUACACACAAAUAGAUCCAAGACUGACUUGAUUUGAAAUGGUUGAAUCUGCAGUGUAAUGUGUGGUUCACCUGUUAAGUAGGACUUGAAAUUUAGAACAAGAAGAGUAAAAGGCUUAAAUGUAACAAAUUCUUUUAGCUAUGUCCGGUAUAGAGCACUUGGGGGAUGGGAUGGGGUGGGUUGGUGAGACAAUCAGAUCGAUAAAUUGAUUAAAUGCUCCUAACCCUGUAAUUUUGUGCAUAGAGCACCUUGUGCUGUGGAAAUAACUGUUCUUAGAUUUUCAUUGUAACUGGACUGUUCAGGUUGCCCAGAGGGAAAGAACAUUCCUAAUUCUAAUAAAAUAAACUUUUAUUUUGUUAUUCCAUUAGUUACUUAUGUUUAUUUUUAUAGUUGAAAACCGAUAACUUAGGUGGGUAACUGCCACCUGUAUAAUGUGCCUUAUUCACUGUUCCUAUUUAAUAUAAACUGUCAAGAUUUGGUUCAAGUUCUAUGUAAGGAACUGUGAAUGAGACCAUUCCCAACAUUUAGUUUGGCUAAUUGAAACUUUUCAGAAGUAUUUCUGAAAGCUUUCUGGUUUCUGCCUCUUGAACAUUGACUUUAAAUUGUUGUUUGUGUUUUAGUAGUGAUACACACUUAGAUGUUCUGUACAUCUUGGAAUGUCAGUUUUUUAUAGAUGAGAUAUUUAAAACAUUCUAGCCUCAAAAGGAAUCAGCUUUCACAUAAAAGCUGAUAGUCCCUAUUUAUGGAUAGUAACGUGGUACUAUCAAACCAGACCUGACUUUUAUCACAUCUAUACUCUAGUUUGUCACUUUCUUUUUUAAAAAAAAAAAAAAGUGGAGUAAAGAUUGCUGUUUGACGGAAUAGGGAAAUAAGAUUUAAUAACUUGCCUAAAGUUUCACAAUGUCUUCUAUCUGAGACCAGAGUGAUAUCCAACUACCUCUGUACAGUUUUCUUAUUCUGGUCUCAGAAUGACGUAGCAUCCAGAACCAGAAGAAGUGGCUUUUUGCAUUCUUUGUCAACUGUAAUGCCCAGCAGUGCCCCUUUGAGAGGGUUACUGCUUCAUCCAGGAUUGUCCUGCCUCUCCGAGAAACCAGCCUUGAGUAGAAAAGCCCUUCCCUACUUGCAGGCUGGGCAGCUAGUCCCUAUGCUCACAUUUGAGGUCAUAGUCCCCAAUGGCAGCCAGACCACGAGUUACACUCGAAAAUAAAUAGCUUGGUGUAAUUCAAUAGGGUAUUUGCAGUUGUUGGCCUGUCCCUUUCCAGUGUAGAGAAUCUGGACAGGCUGCUGGGACUUGUUACAGGAUCUCUUUUUAUAGAUGAUCGCUGAAAAUGCACAGAGCAGCUGCUAAUCUUUUGAGUUCUAAAAACAAGUUCUCAAUGUAGCCCAAGUUGGUCUAGGAUUUAUGUAGCCAAGGAUGGCCUUGAACUUCUGAUCUUCAUGCUUCUACCUCUUAAGUGCUAGGAUGACAGGCAUGUGCCACUAAGUCCAGCUUAGCAUGUAACCAUAGGAUCUCAGCAUUUAUUACUGCAAUUGGAGAGUGUGGUAGGAGUUUUUUUAGGGUUAAUUUUUAAACCAAGUAUCAGCACUGUAGCCCAGGCUGACCUCCAAUUUAGAGCUUUCCUCCUGCCUCUCUGCCUCCUAUUCACUGGGAUUACAGGUAUGCACCUAUCAACUUGGGAGUUGAGGGUUUUUUGUUUUGUUUUUUUUUUUUUUAAGGUAAACAACAGUGGGAAAACGGCUCCUUCAUAAAUGAAAACUGUGCACUCUUAAGUUUUUUUUUUCCAUUUAUCUUUGGGGAAGUUGGUACAUAUUUUAAAGAAUGUGCAUCUGUUAGUUUUUCAAGCUGAAUUAACCAACCUAGAAGCUCUCACUUGGAAGUCAAUGUGACUAAGAAUAAAGACAACUUUAGGAUUUU
rnacentral:lncRNA from 1 species